rnacentral:lncRNA from 1 species
UCCUCUUUGGUCUGUUUGUAUCUCUUUUAUUUUCAGUCCCAUCAUUCUCUCAAGUACUUGUACUUGAAAUUUUAGAAAAAUAUUGAAAAAAAUCUGAUUUAUUAGCAAGAGGAAACAUCCAACUAAAUCUACUAAAGUCAUCACUAUAGAUACAUAAUAGCUAAAGUUAUGUAUAGAAGUAGAUGACGAUGGCCCCCAUAAGUCUACAUGUAGUAAUUGAACGCAGAAGUUCUGUGUGUUGAUAAACAACCCUAGAAAUGGUAGCUGGUGGGCUUUGAUGCCUUGUGGGUAGAUUAAACAAAAUGUAUUCUUCUCCUUUCCUUUUGUUAUGAAUUCAGAAACUAUUCUUUGUUGUACACCUUGUGAUGGGUUUCCUAACCUGUUGUACCAAAUUUCACUAGAAGCGCGCUUUACUCCAUAAAAAGCUUGAGCAUCUGUUAUCUUAUAAUACAACCCUCAAUGGCUAUGUUCAGAAAAUAACAUCACCAUAUAGUAUUGAGGUCUUUCACAGUAAAAGUAUCAUGUAUUUUCCCCCUCCUGCAUGCAAUUCUAGACUCUCUUUAUGAGUUUUUUUAGUUAUUCUCUACUUCCUACAAGAACAAACUGAUUACCUGGAAUUGCUUCAUAUGUUGAAAAAACUCCCAAAUCUGGAUUCAUAUGACUAGAUGCACCUGAAUCCAAACACCAGACUGAUUCAUUUUGAGAUGAAAAGUAGACAUAGCCAUCUCAGGUGGUACAGGGGUCAUGGUUAACUGUGAUCUGUAACUUCUAAAUUUUAGGAAGGUUGAACAUGAAUUGUAGUUGUUGUAUAUGAAGCAAAAUUUGAGGGCAUUGUUUAGCUAGGUGCACUUUCUUAUCACAUAUCUGGCAACCUUGAGCUUGGUCCAAAGAAUAAGUCAGUGUAGAAAUUAUAGAAGGUAGUUGUUGUUGGAUUAUUUUC